rnacentral:rRNA from 1 species
AUUGAACGCUGGCGGCAGGCCUAACACAUGCAAGUCGAACGAGUGGCGGACGGGUGAGUAAUGAUUGGGCAUCUAGCUUAUGGCUGUGGAUAACUACGGGAAACUGUAGCUAAUACCGCGUACCAUAGGAUGAGCCCAAGUGGGUUUAGGUAGUUGGUGAGGUAAAGGCUCACGAAGCCGACGAUCUCUAGCUGGUCUGAGAGGAUGCCCAGCCACACUGGAACUGGGACACGGCCCAGACUCCGCCGGGCGGAGGCAUAGGGGAAUAUUGGGCAAUGGGGGAAACCGGACGCAGCUAUGCCGCGUGAAUGAAGAGGUCCUUGGGGUUGUAAAGUUCUUUCGGUAGCGAGGCGUUAACUAAAGAAAAAGCACCGGCUAACUCCGGGCCAGCAGCCGCGGUAAUAC